rfam:Salmo salar isolate Sally breed double haploid chromosome ssa01, whole genome shotgun sequence.
UACAUGUAUGACUGUAGGUUGCUUUGGAUAAAAGCAUCUGCUAAAUGUAAUAUU